rnacentral:rRNA from 1 species
AUUCUGGUUGAUCCUGCCAGAGGCCACUGCUAUCGGGGUUCGAUUAAGCCAUGCGAGUCGAGAGGUGAAAGACCUCGGCGUACUGCUCAGUAACACGUGGACAACCUACCCUAAGGAGGGGGAUAACCCCGGGAAACUGGGGAUAAUACCCCAUAGACUAGAGAAGCUGGAAUGCUCUCAAGUCCAAAGGUCCGCCGCCUUAGGAUGGGUCUGCGGUCGAUUAGGUUGUUGUUGGGGUAACGGCCCAACAAGCCCGUGAUCGAUACGGGUUGUGAGAGCAAGAGCCCGGAGAUGGAUUCUGAGACACGAAUCCAGGCCCUACGGGGCGCAGCAGGCGCGAAAACUUUACAAUGCGGGAAACCGUGAUAAGGGAACCCCGAGUGCCCGUAAAUUCGGGCUGUCCAUCAGCGUAAAUAACUGGUGAAGAAAGGGCCGGGCAAGACCGGUGCCAGCCGCCGCGGUAAUACCGGCGGCUCGAGUGGUGGCCACUAUUAUUGGGCUUAAAGCGUCCGUAGCUUGGUUGUUAAGUCUCUUGGGAAAUCUACCGGCUCAACCGGUAGGCGUUCAGGAGAUACUGGCAAUCUAGGGACCGGGAGAGGUGAGAGGUACUCCAGGGGUAGGAGUGAAAUCCUGUAAUCCUUGGGGGACCACCUGUGGCGAAGGCGUCUCACUAGAACGGCUCCGACAGUGAGGGACGAAAGCUGGGGGAGCAAACCGGAUUAGAUACCCGGG